GGUUUAAUUCGAUGAUACGCGAGGAACCUUACCCGGGCUUGAACUGCCAGUGACUCAUGCAGAGACGCAUGUUUCUUCGGACACUGGCGGAGGUGCUGCAUGGUUGUCGUCAGCUCGUGCCGUGAGGUGUCGGCUUAAAGUGCCAUAACGAGCGCAACCCUUCUCCCUGUUUGCCAUCGGGUAAUGCCGGGCACUCCAGGGACACUGCCAUCGUAAGAUGUGA
rnacentral:rRNA from 1 species